AACGCGAGAACCUUACCAAGGCUUGACAUAUACGAGAACGGGCCAGAAAUGGUCAACUCUUUGGACACUCGUAUACAGGUGGUGCAUGGUUGUCGUCAGCUCGUGUCGUGAGAUGUUCGGUUAAGUCCGGCAACGAGCGCAACCCUCGUCCUAUGUUGCUAGCACGUUAUGGUGGGAACUCAUGGGAUACUGCCGUGGUCAACACGGAGGAAGGUGGGGAUGACGUCAAAUCAUCAUGCCCCUUAUGUCUUGGGCUUCACGCAUGCUACAAUGGCCGAUACAAAGGGCUGCGAUACCGCGAGGUGGAGCGAAUCCCAAAAAGUCGGUCUCAGUUCGGAUUGGGGUCUGCAACUCGACCCCAUGAAGUCGGAGUCGCUAGUAAUCGCAGAUCAGCAACGCUGCGGUGAAUACGUUCCCGGGUCUUGUACACACCG
rnacentral:rRNA from 1 species